AAGUCGUAACAAGGUUUCCGUAGGUGAACCUGCGGAAGGAUCAUUAUUGAAUAAGCUUGGUUGGGUUGUUGCUGGCUCUCAGGGGCAUGUGCACGCCUAACACCAACUUUUACCACCUGUGCACAUUUUGUAGACCUGGAUAAAACUCUCGAGGAAACUCGGUUUGAGGAAUGCUGUGCGCAAGCCAGCUUUCCUCGUACUUCUGGUCUAUGUUUUUAUAUAUACACACCCCUAUAGUAUGUCUCGGAAUGUUUGUUUGUUGGGCUUGAAUGCCUUUAAACUUAAUACAACUUUCAACAACGGAUCUCUUGGCUCUCGCAUCGAUGAAGAACGCAGCGAAAUGCGAUAAGUAAUGUGAAUUGCAGAAUUCAGUGAAUCAUCGAAUCUUUGAACGCACCUUGCGCUCCUUGGUAUUCCGAGGAGCAUGCCUGUUUGAGUGUCAUGAAAUUCUCAACCUUUUCAGCUUUUUCUGUUGAUCAGGCUUGGAUGUGGGAGUAUGCGGGCUUCUCAGAAGUCGGCUCUCCUGAAAUGCAUUAGCGGGACCUUUGUUGCCUUGCUUUGGUGUGAUAAUUNUNUACGCCAUUCGUGAAGAGCAGCUUUNNNNNAAGCAUAUCAAUAAGCGGNGGAAAAGAANCUNACNANGGAUUCCCCUAGUACUGCGAGUGANGCGGGAAAAGCUCAAAUUUAAAAUCUGAGGGUCUUUAUGGCCUUCCGAGUUGUAAUCUAGAGAAGUGCUAUCCGCGCUGGACCGUGUACAAGUCUCCUGGAACGGAGCGUCAUAGAGGGUGAGAAUCCCGUCUUUGACACGGACUACCAGGGCUUAUGUGAUACGCUCUCAAAGAGUCGAGUUGUUUGGGAAUGCAGCUCUAAAUGGGUGGUAAAUUCCAUCUAAAGCUAAAUAUUGGCGAGAGACCGAUAGCGAACAAGUACCGUGAGGGAAAGAUGAAAAGAACUUUGGAAAGAGAGUUAAAAAGUACGUGAAAUUGUUGAAAGGGAAACGCUUGAAGUCAGUCGCAUUGGCCAGGGAUCAACCUUGCUUUUGCUUGGUGUAUUUUCUGGUUAAUGGGUCAGCAUCAAUUUUGAUCGGUGGAAAAAGAUCAAGGGAAUGUGGCAUCUUCGGAUGUGUUAUAGCCCUUGGUUGUAUACAUCGAUUGGGGUUGAGGAACUCAGCACGCCGCAAGGCCGGGUUUUUAACCACGUACGUGCUUAGGAUGCUGGCAUAAUGGCUUUAAUCGACCCGUCUUGAAACACGGACC
rnacentral:rRNA from 1 species